rnacentral:rRNA from 1 species
ACCCGCUGAAUUUAAGCAUAUAAGUAGGCGGUGAGUGAGACACCAACUGGGAUUCCCUUAGCAAUGGCGAAUGCAGAGGGUUGGGCUCGUUAUUGAAGUUGGGGCUCUUAGCCCUGAAUUGUAAUCCUGGAGUGUGCGACCAACGGAGGUGUGGUUAUAGGCUUGUGGGAACAUGUGUUGAUGAGGGUGAUAGCCCUGUGUGUCAUCUGCAGCCCCCAGUGCAUGGUGCACAGCUCACGAGUCACAUCCCUUUGGACUGGUGUGUGAAGCAGGUGGUAACAUUCAUCUGAAGCUGAAGAUUUGUCCGAAACCAAUAGUGAACAAGUACCUUGAGGGAAAGGUGAAACAGGACUUUGAAAAGAGAGCUAAACAUGCCUGAAUUUGCCGAGCAGGACAUGAGGGAAACCAGUGUAGCUUGGUAAGCUUACUGUGUGUGGUCCUGCUUGCCUGCAUUGUUUACAUUAGUGCAUGUGCAGGACAUAAGCUGAAUGUACACAGUGUGCUUUGCCUUGUCAACCAGGGUCAACACAGUGCCUAAUAGUAAUUUCAGUUGCUUGGUAACCUGCCCUUUGGUGGGGAAUGCGCCUGUCUCUGCGUGUGCGUGUGCUUCUUGGUGGCUAUGCGGUGCCAUUCGCCCCGUCUUGAAACACGGAUCAAGGAGUCUAAUGUGCGUGCGAGCUCAUCGGUUGUAAGACCUGUUAGCACAAUGGAGAUGUUGGUUGGGAUUAGUGCAUCGACAACUGACCGUUCAACUGUGAAAGACCCGAGUAUGAGCAUGUCUGUUAGGACCCGAAAGAUGGUGAACUAUGCCUGUGAAAGGUAAGCUCAGGGGAAACUCUGAUGGAGGCCUGCAGUGAUACUGACGUGCAAAUCGUUCGUUGUACAUGGGCAUAGGGGUGAAAGGCUAUUCGAAUCAUCUAGUAGCUGGUUCCCUCUGAAGUUUCCCUCAGGAUAGCUGGAGCUGGACAGCUUUACCAUGUAAAGCCAAUGAUUAAAGGAAUUGGGGGCCUGUUGCCCUUGACAUAUUCUCAAACUCUAAAUGGGUAAAGCACAGUUGCUACAUGUGUGAGUUUCAGUGGCAAGUGGCAGCUCUAAGUGGGCCAUUCUUGGUAAGCAGAACUGGCGAAGAGGGAUGAACCUAAUGCUGGGCAAAGGUGCCUCCCUGCUCACUCAUCAGAUACCAUAAAGGGUGUUGGUUCAUCUUAACAGCAGGACGGUGGUCAUGGAAGUUGAAAUCCGCUAAGGAGUGUGUAAUAACUCACCUGCCGAAUGGACUAGCCCCAAAAAUGGAUAGCGCUCAAGUGGGUGACUGAUAGCCAGCCAAUUCUGUGAUGAUGUUGCAUCGAUGAAUAGGAGGGCAUGGGGCUUUGUGCUGAAGUUUAAGGUGUAAGUCUGGGUGAAGCAGCCCUGGGUGCAGAUCUUGGUGGUAGUAGC